AUUGAACGCUGGCGGCAGGCCUAACACAUGCAAGUCGAGCGAGCGGCGGACGGGUGAGUAAUGUCUGGGAAACUGCCUGUUGGAGGGGGAUAACUACUGGAAACGGUAGCUAAUACCGCAUACCAUCAGAUGUGCCCAGAUGGGAUUAGCUAGUAGGGGGGGUAAUGGCUCACCUAGGCGACGAUCCCUAGCUGGUCUGAGAGGAUGACCAGCCAGCCUGGAACUGAGACACGGUCCAGACGCCUACGUGAGGCAGCAGUGGGGAAUAUUGGACAAUGGGCGCGAGCCUGAUGCAGCCAUGCCGCGUGUAUGAAGAAGGCCUUCGGGUUGUAAAGUACUUUCAGCGAGGCGGCUUUACUCGCAGAAGAAGCACCGGCUAACUCCGUGCCAGCAGCCGCGGUAAUUC
rnacentral:rRNA from 1 species